GCGCUGCUGCCCCGCGGCCCGCGGCCGCCCAUCCGCCCCGGCCCGGGGACGCAGGCAGGGAGGGCGUGCGAGGCCCGGCCGCGUCCGUGCGCCCCGCCGCCGCCGCCGCCCCCUCGGGCCGCGCAGUUAAAGGGACCGCCGGCCCCGGGUUGAGCGCGCCCGCCGGGGGGCGCCCGAGGGCGGGCGGGGCCUGACGUCAUCGGGCCGCUCGCGGCGCAGCGCGAGGCGGGGUUGCGCACGCGCGGAAGGGCUGGAGGGCGGGGCGUGCGCGUGGGUGGCGGGGCCGCGGUGUCGGCGCCCGCGCAGAACUCCCUCCGCUCUCCGGGGCCCCGCCCCUGACCCCUGCCUCGGGCCCCGGGUGCCCGACCCCGCGCGCGGGCACGCCCACAAUGUGCUCGGGCCGUAGCCCCUGCUGGGCCUAGGGUCUCGGCCCGUGCGCGGACAGGGGCGCGUCCCCCGGAGGGAGGCGGCUGAGGACCCUCCGGAAGCAGCCCUGCUGUCAGAAGGGAGACCCCGCCCCCGGCAACGCCGAGGCCCCCAGGGGUCGACUACAGAACCCAGAAGGUUCCGGAGAACCGGAGGGCUCCGGGGUCCGUGGUGCUCAAAGUCGGGGGCGCCCUGGUCACAUCCGCGGGCAGCAGGGGGGCAGCACGGGAAGCUGAGGAUACUUCGGUCCGGGCCGGGAGCCAAAGACAACUCGGUCUCUGCGCCCCGGCGCCCACUGCGUGCUCGCGCGCCCUCUACCAGGCCCCACGGAGGCUCCGCGAAACACGGGCCAAGUGCCUGCGGGUGCUCGCGUGGAGGCGGGGUGCGAGUGUGAACAUGUGUAUGUGCGGCUGAAGGUAACAGCGGAGGUCACCGGCAACGGCGCGCACGCACGAUGCACAGAGGUGCCCGGGGAAGGUGGUGCUGGCAGCAGGUGAAGAUGACCCCCACCCCCACCACCGCCUCUGUCGAUCCACCAGCCUGGGGUCCUGUGUGGACCAGGGGAGACCCACAGCAGCGCCCCUCGGGCUGUGGAGGCUCCAACCACACGCUGACCCCACUGGAGGUGGAGGGUCUCCCCCAUCCCAGGAGGAAGACUUGAGGCCAGUAGAGAGAAUCCCACAUUGGUGAGAGUGAAGAACAGGAGAGUCUCUAGGAUAGGACCCAAGAAUGAUGAAGGUGGAGGAUGCAUGAUGCCCCUUGCGACCUGUCCCCAGCACUCCCCCUGAAGCUGGUUGGAGCCUGGAGCUGUCCUAGCUGCCUAGUCAUGACCAUCCUUGGGCAGUGGAUCAGCACAGGAAAAAGCCCAUCAGUCCACCACUGACUGGAAGAGCCAGACUUUGAAGGAAAGCCCCUGAGCCCAGGCUAGGGACCAUCCCCAGGUCAGCCUAGGCCAAGGGCACUGACCUCCAUUCCCCUAGGCUCUGGUGGGGAGAGUGGACAGGGCUCUGUGAGGCGGGCACCCGCUCAGCAAAGCCUGCACCGUCUCCCCUUGGGUCUCGGUUUCCCCAGAGGUAAUCUGAGGAAGCCAGGUAGUGGCUGGCUCUCUGCUGGGCAUCUAGGGGAGGGAGAUAGGCCCCACCCUGAGAGCUCCCAGGGGACCAGCAUCCCCCAGGCCAGACAUGAAUGACUGCUGGUCUCACAGAUGUAGGGUCUGAUGCCCCAUCUGUGCUCUGCCCCCCCCCCCAAGCCUCUCUUUCUCACCUGGCUGCCCUAGUCCUAUGAGAGAGGCUGGUAGCCAGAGGCCAGAGCUGACUCUGUGGUCAGGCAGGCACACUGCAACGGGGAGUGAGUUUGUGGUCCGAGCAGUGCAGCUACUGUGGGGCCAGGGGUCACAGGCUGGGAGGGAGGCACAUUUUCAAGCAAGCCACAGCUCCCUGGCCCAGCCUCCCUCCCUGCCUUUGCCACUGUGGGACCCUUGCAGGUGUGUAGUGAGGAGACAGCCACACUGAGGUGCUGUCUGAGCAUCUCACAUCCAGAGUCUGGACAUUCAGAUAAAAGCCUGAACCUAGGAUGCCCACCACAAACUCCUGCCUUGUGUCUCCUGCGGUAUCUUUUAAAAUGACCACUCAGAAUUGAGCCUACAAAAAAUUAGUGACCACCAUCCCAACCACCUUAUAAGUAAUAGGAGUAUGCUACCCUGCUGUCUCUCUCCUGAUCUGGAAUGGAGAACUGCCCUUCUGAAGCCUUGCUCACCGCACCCCUGUCCUGGGAUCUGAGGCGUGGCUGGACAAGGCAGGGGUCAGCCAACCAGCCCCGCUAAGAAUCUGGUUCUGGCUUCUGCUCCCGGGGACUCGGACAUUCCAGGCAGCCAGGCUCACUGGGAGGAGAAACCACAGGCACUCAGAGACGCCACCAGACACAGAGACGCGUGCUCACGCCCACUGUUCUGUCACUCGAGAAAUAUUCGCUGAGCACCUACUGUGUGCCAGGGAACUGGAAGCUGUCGGAGGGAGGCAGGCAGACGGCAGGCCGGCUCACGGACGGAUAAGAUGGUUUUCAUCCCCGGGAGAAGUGUCAAGAGACGGAAACAGGGCAGACUCUCCCUCCACAGGACUGACCGGGACGGCCUCCGAGGGAGUGACACCCACAGUGUGGGCAGGAGCCGAAACAAUGCCGGAAGGGCCUUUUGCACCCACAUGACGAAGUGCUGGGACGCCACUCUCCGACAGGGUCCCCGUCCUGCUGCCUGCAGUCAUCUGGCCACUCUGAAAGGGCCUUGCAGGGACCAUGUGGGAGGCCCCCAGCCAAGAGCCAAGAAGAAAGUGGACCUCAGGCCUACAACAACAAGGAACUGGACUCCGCCCGCCCCCCACAUGAGCGUGGGAGAGGGCCGCGCUCAGGCCCGGAUGCAGCCCCGGCAGACACCGAUUUCACCUGGGAGGCCCUGAGCCGAGGGCCCAGAAAACUCGCAUCCACAUGUCUGACCCAGGGAAGCCGUGUAAUAGUGAAUGUGUUGCAUUAAGCUGCUCAAUUUGUGGCAAUUUGUGGUACAGCGAGAGAAGACAAACAUAACUAUCUCCGGAACAGAGCGAGGCCAGGGCUUAACCCAGCAAAAGGCACACAUUUCACAAGGAGAAGGGACUGGUUCCUCAGUUUGGGGCUGGCUGCUGGCUGCAGCAUGUGGUGUAGGGCAGGCCACGAGGCUGAGGCCACAUGGAGAGCCACGUCACAGACUGCAAGCUCGCCCAACUUCACUGACAAGUUUCUGCCAGUUGUGACCAUUCUGGGAAGGGCCACUUGCAUAUGCAUUGGCCCUUCCUCUGGAGGCCUGAGGGCUUGCACACCUUGGCCUCUCAUGCCACGAGGCAGGGAACUCCGCACAUCCGGGGUCUGAAGAGCUGAGUGUGUCCCUCAGGAGAGCUGUUGACUGUGAGGGCUCUGGCUGCCUUCUGGUGAGGACCACAGGUCGAUGACAUGUCAGGUCGGGCUGAGAGGUCGUCGAGGCAUUGAGACACUGAUUUGAGAAGACAGGACAGGCACCCGCCUGGCUCGGUCGAUGGACCGUGUGCUCUCCAUCUCCAGAUUGUGAGUUUGAGCCUCGAGUUGGGUGUAGAGAGGACUUAAAAUAAAAUAGGGGUGCCUGGGUGAUUCAGUCGUUUAAGUGUCCGACUCUUAAUUUCAGCUCAGGUCAUGAUCUCAGGGUAGAGGGCUCUGCACUCAUUGGAGAGUCUGCCUGAGAUUCUCUCUCCCUAUGCCCCCACCAACUCAUGCCCUCGCUCUCUCUCAAAAAAAAAAAAAAAAAAAAGCUUAAAAAAAUAAGCAAAAAUACAGACAAGAAUAUGGAAAUAUAGAAACAUUGUGUCAUGGACCAGCCAACUUUCCUUUUUUUUUUUUUUAAGAUUUUAUUUAUUUGACAGAAGAGAGAGAGAGCGCACAAACUGGGGGAGUGGAAGAGGGAGAAGCAGGCUUCCCGCGGAGCAGGGAGCCCGAUGCGGGGCUCGAUUCCAGGACCCUGGGAUCAUGACCUCAGCCAAAGGCAGACACUUAACAACUGAGCCACCCAGGCACCCCGUGCACGUGAUUCCUUUGAGCAUCUCAGCUUUACAUUGAGCGUGGGGUCGAGCUCUCCCAGCAGGAAUGCUGCAGGAGGAAGGGGUUCUCCUGUGUGUCGGGCUGGGCUGGGUUGGUCAGUGGUGUCAUGCCCACGACACACUGUCCCUUGGCCAUCUCGAAGCCUUGACCUGGCCACAGUAAUCUUCCUGCAGUGCUCUCAACAGGGAAACCAGCACCCCGCCUCCCUCUGCAGUGUGCCUCGGGCCCAUGCAGCCUGGAAGGUUCCCAUCACCUCGCAUGCCCAGCACCCCCACCCAUACUCUCACGUACUCUGCCUCAUCAUGUGGAUCUUGGGCUAAGCUGAAUGUGUUCCUAGGCUGCCUACUUCGAGCCAUGGUGGGGAUCAGCCCGAGACCCACAGGGAGGUCCCAAAGAAGCUGAGUCUAGAUGAGAGACAUGCUCUUCCUGAUCCAAAGAGGAAGCAACUGGUACAAAGGGGCCCCAGAGCCCUGACGUGGUCCCUUGAGACAGUGUGGCAGGUGUCCAGGUAUGGUCACGUGGCAGCUUGUCCAAGAACGCUGUUUCCCACAGUAUCGACAGUCAAAAGUCCCUGAAACAGCCACUCAUAUACCGGCCCUUUUGAUCUUUCUUCCAGAACAGUCCAUUUCUGAUUUGCAGUUUGUAGCAGGUAAGUGUGAGGAAAGCAGAAACCACCACUGGCUCACCAAGCUGGACAGAACAUGCAAAGGUCAGAGGGCAAAAUCUCUCUUGAGGUGCAACAUACUCUCCAAGGAUUUGGUCAACAGUGACUCUGAGCAUUACAACACUUAACGGGCUGGGAGGACACUAAAAACUACCAGGCGCUUUUAGUUGGCCCCGUGGUGUCCUGACUGCCCAGCAAGAGCGCGGAAACAGAAAUGAAGCUCGUCUGUGGACAAGACUACGCCAGUCCUUCGCUUCAACAGAAACCGGCAAAGCUGCUCAAACACAGCAACGGUAACAGCACGACUUCUGUAUAUAAACAGCCUAGGAAGAAGGAACAUUUCUUACUUGACUUUCCCAUCACUCAGGCCUCAUACUAUGUGAUGAGGUGAUUAAAAUGUUAAUAAAUCAUUUACUU